CGCCCGCCGCCCCCGGGCAGGAAAGGGCAGGUCUGCACCGCUGCCCACGCUCGCUCCCGCGGCGACUCCUGGUCGGGGCCGCGCGGGAGCGACAUGCCUGCGCGCCCGGGCCUGUGACCCGCUCGGGGAUGGACAGCGGCUCCGUGGCGGGCGAGCGGCCGAAGCGCACGCCGGGCCGUCAGCGGCUCCUGCCCUUCGGCUGCGGGGUCCAGGCGCGCCCCGGCGUCUCCCCGCUGCCGGGCGGACGACGCUGGCUGAGGCUCCGCGGACGAGCCGCCCGCGCGUCCCCGCUGCUGCUCGUCCUGCUCGUGCCCUCCCCGCGCCUGGCCGCCACCGCCCCGCGUAGGACGCUGGCUGAGCGCACGCGCCCGGGCCACGCCGUCGCCGCGGUUGCGCUCGGCGCCGGCAGGAACGCGCAGGGCCGUCUGCCGCUGGGCGUCGGGCGUGUGGCCGCCCUGGCCAGCAGCCGGAGAGAGCUAAGCCUGUCUGCUGGGUGCCGCCAGCUAGAGCACAGAAAGGGGAACUUGCCCUCGUCUGUGAGUCGGAAACUCUACUUUGACACCCACGCUCUGGUGUGCUUACUUGAAGCAAAUGGGUUCACCACUCAACAAGCAGAAAUCAUUGUGUCUGCAUUGGUCAAGAACACAGAGACCAACAUGGACAUCGUCUACAAUGAUAUGGUCACCAAGGUGCAGCAGGAAAUCACUCUUCAGCAAAUAAUGUCUAAGAUCGCUAACGUGAAAAAAGAUAUGGUCAUCUUGGAGAAGAGUGAGUUUUCAGCCCUCAGAGCAGAAAAUGAGAAAAUAAAACUUGAACUACACCAGUUAAAACAGCAAGUGAUGGAUGAAAUGAACAAAGUCCGGACAGAUACCAAAUUAAACUUCAAUCUAGAAAAGAGCAGAGUGAAAGAAUUGUAUUCACUGAAUGAGAAGAAGAUGCUGCAACUGAGGACAGAAAUGGUGUCCCUGAAGGAAACUGAGACAGGAGACAUGAAAGGCCCUGGACAGUGCAGUGUGGCCUGAGGACAGCGGAGCCAAGAGUAACCCCAGCUCCAGCUCUCUGCCCAGGACUGCACCCUGCUGAAAAAGAGCUCUGCAUCAGAGCAUCAGGGAACAGAACAGCACCCACAGACUCUAACCUUCUCAACCUCUUUGCUUUCAAAGCACGCCCAGCAAGACAGAGCCCUGACCCAGACAGACAGGAAGAUAGAAACCGAGGUGGCUGGCCUCAAGACUCUGCUGGAGGCGCACAAGCUUGACACGAUCAAAUACUUAGCAGGGUCUGUGUUUACGUGCCUAACAGUAGCUCUGGGAUUCUAUCGCCUGUGGAUAUAGUGAAGUGUCUCUUUAAAGAAAUUUCCAUGAUUUUGCCUUAAGAGUACCAGAUUGUUAUCUCACCUACCCCCACCCCACCCUUUUUUCUUGUUUCAAGUUUUAAUCCUAAUUUGACUUCAAGCAUAUUAUUUAUUUCUGUGCAAACUGUGGAUCCAUAACCAAGGUGAAGAAGUCGGGAUUUCUGUAAUUAUUCUUCGGAGCACCUCUCUUUAGUUGGCUUUUUGACUGAGCAGUGUGGACCACACUUUCAAGACUCCAUUCAGCCAAACCAAUGGACUUGGUCUAACCUGCAGUAUAUGACAAAAAAUAAACACUAGUGUCAUCCUCUACAGCUUGAAAUAGUCCAUAAUGUGGAGAGCUGGGGAACUCAUUUAAAUCGGAAGAAUCAUUGGAAUUCCACCCAGAACACCAGCUCUUCCCGGCCUCAUCACCAGGCGCUCCUGCGCAGCCUCGCUCUGCUGCAGCAGCUGCAGCAGCGUUAACGAUGCUGGUGCACCUUCCGGGCCUUUGUCUUUGGUUUCCAUUGUCUACGCAACAUCGCUGGCCGUGGUUGUUGUUAAUGUGCCUUGCAGCUGGAAGUCUCGGAACCUAAUGGAGCUUUGUGAUUCUAACACAAGUUCUUUUACUGCCGCCACUCAUGUGUUUCUGGUUGUGAGACAAGGUCUUACUAUUCAGCCCAGGCUAGCCUUGAACUCACAGUCCCGAGUCAAGACCACCAUGCCUAGCCUCUUAACCUUCCAGAAUGCUAACUUUCCUCCCUCUCCAUCCUCUUAUUUUCCCUCAUGAUGUGGGAGUUUAACACCACACUGGUGGCAUUAGCUACCUAGAAAACUUAGAAUUCUGGGAAUGAAACCCUGCUUCAGUCUGUGGUUUAGAGUGAACUUCCUUCUGGUUGUCCACCAGCUUUUUAUAAAUGACACACUGCACUUUCUUUCUGUGGGCUAUCUAGAUAGCGUACACAGUUUUUAGAAUGAGUACGCCUGCGCCUCUGAGCAGCACAGGUUGCCACUUGUCCGGUGAGAGAGCCACCAUGCUCGGCAUUGGCCUCAUGCGCAUUGAUUUCUUUGUGGCUGAAGACACCCUCCCAUCCACCUUCCCUCUGUAUUUAGAAUGAGCAGCAAGGUUAUUCUGGAGACGCACAUUCUCCUCCUAGUUAAGUUGUUGGCGGAUGGAUGAGAGUGAGCAUUUGGCAAGCAGUGACACCUAGGAACCCUUCCUGGCUUUCCCCACACAGGCACAAAUGCACAAGCUGAUGCAUGGUGCAGAAACCCCAAGAGACUGCACCAUCAGAUUGGUGGAAUAAAUCACCCCUUGUCACUGUUCCAACCACAUUGCUAAAAAUAAACACUACCUUUUGUUCCUUGGAUGUAAUUUCCAAGUUUUAGAAAUCAUUAAGUCCUUGCCUCUUUAGAAAACAUUUGUGUAAAAAGAUUCUGAGCCCCACAUAAUAUGGAAAUCAAGUGCUUUUGUACUAGAACAGUAUCAAGGUGAAAUAGAAGUUUAUCCUUUUCAAGUAGACAACAAAAAAAGUCUCAACCACUUAAUAAAAUACCUUGUGGAUGUAUUCUCCCCCUAUUUCAGAAAAGAGUCCCCAAAGCCUGCCCAUCCCGCAAUCCCCUUAUACACGGCAGGCCUCCAUGAAUGCCGUCCCAGUUAGACCUGUUAACUGCUUCCUGGUAGCACAGCUUCGGAGCAGGGGCUCCAAGCCCAGAUGCUCUUAUCUCUCCUGGAGGAUAAGAUAAAAAAGCCCAGUAUGCAGUUAUAUUUCACAGAGGGUGCGUUUCCUCGUGUCCUGAUCAAGUAUUCUUUAAGGAACACAUCCAUCCGUAUGUCUGCUUAAAGUAUUCCACAGCACUCCUGGGCUCAGCAGGCUGUGUUGUCUUUAAUUUUGCUCUAGAUUCUGUUUCUUUACAGCACAUGACAGUCUUCUUUGGCCUUAGAAACUGUGCUGUCAUUGAGAGUGUGGGUGCCAUGCAUAUCUGCAGGUUAGGAUAGUUCAGGUCUAUGUUACCCCAUUUCCUAAUAAAGUUGAAAAGCAUUGAGCUAUAAAUAAACAUGUCCUGUCGUCGCUGCCUUGGACAUACAGUGUGUGGGUGCUGUGACCAGACACUAACUGAACUUCCCGCACUGAGGCUUCAGAGCCCUUAGGAAAUGUCUGGCAGGUUUCCAGGCAACAACCAUGGGUCAGGCCUGUGGGGACAUUUAACAGUAGCUACAUGGGGUAGUAGAGUCCAGAUCUUAAAGUGUUCCUCUGCCUUCUUGCUGGGUACUGUGUUUUCUGUCCCCUCUUUUUUUUCCUGUGGUACUUGCUAGGGACCAAACCACAGGCCUUGAAUGUGCUAUCGUCCUGCCUCAGCCUCAGCUGAGAUUACAAGCUUUAGUCAGCAUGUCUGGCUUCCUCUGGCUUUUUUUUUUUUUUUAAGAGCCUCAAGUCCAGUUUCACUCCUUUCCUGCAUUCAUGUACAAAACCCCUUUGGGGCUCUUUACUGGAGACAUUUGCUUUGACUUCUGUACUGCUUUUCUUGCUUAACAUCUGGCGACAUGAUUUUUCCUUCACGUAUGCCCAGCACCUCAGGUAGAAAGUCACAUUCAAGAAGAAAGACCCGACUCAAAGCAGAAGUCUUGCUGGGGUCUCUCAGAACGCUUUAAGCAAUGGGAGCCUGAGCCCCAGCAAGCCUGUGCUUGGGCUGGCCUGUCUGAUGUCUUGGCAUCUUCUUCCCUGUGAUUGUCCUUGCCCCCUCCUCCCCAAGCCAGUCUGCCUGCUGAUUAACCCUGUCACGACUCCAAGCAUUUCCCUUCCGCAAUCCUUGUAUGCCAUGUGCCAGAACUGGCAGAGCCAACCCUAGAAAACUUGGGACUUUAAGGUAAUCAAAAUUGUUACAGCUUUUAUGGCCCUAAUGCAAAAAUGUAUUAACCGGAAAUAAUUUAUUCUUUAUGUAUAUAAGAUACUUGGAAAUGUUCAGCCUUAUUGGAAUUGUAUUCAGAAAAUAUCUUUUUACAGAUUUGUACUUACAUUCCUCCAAUGACAACCCAGAUCAUGUAACCCUUUUAUUACUUCAGCAAAUAUUCUAUUAUAUUUUAUUAUUGUAUGGAGUGAAUAUAUUUUAUUAUCUAAGAUAAAAGAUUUAUGCUUGUGUGGCUAAUAGAACUUUCUGGUUCAGACUGAAUGUAUGAAAACAGAAUAUACCUUCUAUCUGAAACAACUGCAUCUAAACUAAUAAUUCCACCCCAUUGUAAAAUACCAUUCAGUUGCCUCUAGUGAAUUAUAAGUAAAUACAAUACCUAAAAAAUUGGAUUUACAGAGAAACUAUAUUUGAAAGUGAAUGUCUGAUUUGCAAAAUAAAUUUUUAUUUGAAAGCAUU